AAAUAUAAUUAUCUGGAGAAAAUAAAGACAAAAAAAAAAUGGAAUUAUCAAAUGUAUAAAAAAUAUUAAUAAUGUAUUAUAUGGAAAUGAAAAAAAAUUCGUUUUACAACUUCAAGGUUUAAUGUUUUCCUUGUUUUUAUCUCGAAAUUGUUUAACUUUAACAUAAUAUUAAAAAAAAAAGCAUUUUUAUUUGAUUAGCAAUAUUUAAGAAAAUCUUUACUGUUUCCGUAUAACAGAUUUAUCCCUGUAGUCAUAUAAAUUCUUUUCUAAAGAAUUAAAUUCAUUAUAAAUUUUAAUUUUCAUCGACAAAGAUUCCUCAAUAUUUCAAUACUAUUUUUAUAGGGGGAUUGAAAAAAAUAUGUUCGGCUUAUUUAUAUUAUUGACAACAAUGACUUUGGUUACAAUUGCUUGUCUUGUGAAAAAUGAAUUAUGUCAACCAAGCGGAAGUGACGGUAGAUGUUGUUCAGGAUUUUGUCGACAAGGAGCAAUUUUGGAUUAUUUCUAUUGUGCUUGAAACAAUUGUAUCUAAAAAAGGAAAAAUAGAAAAUACACUUUUUUUUUUU